CUCGUGCAUGACCGAUAGCGAACAAGUACCGUGAGGGAAAGGUGAAAAGCACCCCGACGAGGGGAGUGAAAUAGAACCUGAAACCGGAUGCCUACAAACAGUCGGAGCCCGCAAGGGUGACGGCGUACCUUUUGUAUAAUGGGUCAACGACUUAGUGUAACUAGCAAGCUUAAGCCGGUAGGUGUAGGCGCAGCGAAAGCGAGUCUGAAUAGGGCGAUUUAGUUA
rnacentral:rRNA from 1 species